rfam:Schistosoma mansoni strain Puerto Rico chromosome 4, complete genome
AUUCAGCUGACGAGUCCUAAAUAGGACGAGACGCGCGUAUUGGAU